CUAUUUGAUUGUCUUAUUCCAGUACAAGUUUCAUGUGUCUCUUUUGGUUCAAAGAAAACUUAAAGCCUUUUUUUUUGUUCCAUCUAUUGUCUUUUCAUAGUUUGCUCUUGAAGGUGAAGUUUUAUGGAACAUGCUACUAGAUUUGUUUCUUGAGUUCGGUCUCUUUGUUAUACGCCUUUGAAGUUCUGACCGCCUAAUUGUCUUGUCUUGAUGUUCUGCAUUGUGUUGAUGUCAAGCCAGAACUCUGAUGUUAGGAGCUGUUUUGAUCUUACUUGUUAUAUGUUACUAUUGCAGUCAAUAUAUUAAUGUAGUUUGCAAUCAGUUCUGUAUGUUGUUGAAACCAUUUUCUUGUGGUUUUACUUAUCUAAUAGUUUGUGUCUGAACUACCUAACUAAAACAAAGAGUUCUGAUAAAAGUUUCUGUUUCUUUGUUAUAAUUUUGAAGUUUUUAAAGUUUGCUUGACUUAUGUUUUGAAGGGCUUAGCCUUAGGUGCAGCUAAAACGGCGGCAUAGAAUGUUCUUUCAGAACACUAGUUUUACUUUUGUUGAUCAUAUAAAAAUAUAACAAAAAUCAUUUCAUAGAUUUAUUAAUUAAUUUAAAAGGUCAAUUGAUGAGUGCAGUAGGAUCACACACGGUUGUUAGCCAAAUGAACUACUACCUUCAAUUGACAAUCAAAUAGAUGAGUUUACACCUUUAUAUAUUAAAUCACAAUUCCUAUAAUUACCAAUAUGGGAGUUUCAUUUAUCAUAUCAUAUUUUGGCCAUUUUGGUUUUGGGCCUCAUUCGAUAUGUUGGGAAAAUUACCCAAUAUUGAUGAGAUGAAAAUGAGAUUUAGACAACUAAGAGAUUUAAGAAGAAGACUCUUAAUAUUUAGGAAAGGGUUUACUACAA
rnacentral:lncRNA from 1 species